rnacentral:lncRNA from 1 species
UUUCUAGAACCACUUAGCAGUUUUCAUAGGUGGCAGACCCUGUAUUGUUAUUUUUAUUGUUGUUAAGGACUAGCUUUUAUUUUCAGAAACUGGGCUAAGUAGUUCAAAUUGAUUAUCUCAUUUAAUUUGAACAAUAUACCAAUGAAGUAGAAAGUAUUAGUAUCUUCAUUUUAUAGAAGAGCCAUCUGGAAUAGAAACAGAUUAAAUGACCCUUUCUCUUGGGUUCUGGUGAGUGUCCUAUUGCUCCCUAGAAUAAUUCAGUGCUCACCAGAAGGAUUUACUCUACUGACUGAUAAUACAGUUUUCAAUGAUUAUUUAUUCUAAAGGGUGUGUAAGCAUGGAGAAAGGUAGUAUUGCUAUUCUCCAGAAUCACAGUAGAGUUUUAUGGAUUAUAUAUUAUUACAGCAAGAUCCUUCUGAGAUUUUCAAUAUAGGAUUGAAGAUCAUCUCUGUUGGGUUAGCAGGGCAUGGGUCCUGCCCUGCGUAUGCAGCAUUCCUCAUAUCUCUUAGUAUGACGCUUUGCAUAAGCAGGGACUAAGGAAGUAUUUGUUGAGCAUAUGGAUGAAUACCAAAAUUUGAAAUCCAGCAGAUUUUAUCUUAGUGAAGAAUUGGUAGGUUUUGUUUGCCUUUUGAUAGACAUCAGAAGUCAGUUAGAAUAUCUGUCAUGUUACACGGAGGUAAUUAUACAUCUUUUCCUGACUCCUUCAUUCAACACUGAGAAAAUACCUAUAAUAUGCUUUGAGUCAUAAUUACAAGACAUUGUAUAAAGUGAAAAAAUAGCAUGAAUUUAUUAAAUCCAGUACUUUGGGUAACAAAUUCAUGGUGAAUCUUUAUCGUAAAAUUGACGGCAGAGGUGGUGGUUGUAGCGCUGAAUCUCUUUCCAAACACUAUGACCAAGCAUUAAGAAGUAUUUUUAAGUCCCCUAUUUCAGAUGCCUGAAAAUAUGUGAAAGAAGAUAGGGUUUUUGAAGCACAUUUAUAUUGCUACUAGACCUUUAGCCUAUACAACACAUGCUCCUUUUCCUCAGACUAUAGUAAGUGAAAUCUCUAGUAGGUAUCUUUCUAAGGCAGAGCCUUCAUAGAAAUAUCCAUAGACAUAUGGUUAAUAAGUCUCUAUUUAAAGGGAAUUUCUUCCCCAGAAUAAAGCCAUCAAGGCAAUUGAGUCAGAUAAUUUCAUAUUUCCUAGGGGGAGCACCAGCCACCUUUAAAUCUACCACAAUUUUAAAUAGCUACUAUUGGUCAUUAUGUUCCAACUGGCUUAGAUAAAUAAAUAUUUAGACCUUACCCUUUGGUCUUUGUUGAGCAAUCAUGUGAUUUUUCUUGGGUGGCACAGCGUAAGGAGGGAGAGGAGAGAGAAAGGAAGAAAUGAAAAGAAGGGACUAAGAAGCAAUUUUAAGAACCUGAAUAAGGGAAGCUUUCCAAAGCAGAGCUCAAGUCAUCUAGAGAGGAGUGUGGCUUUUGCUUUUGUAAUAAAGACUUUUUUCUCUGGAGUUCCUUUCUAGCAAGAUAUACACAAUGCAGGCCUGUGAAUAUAACUUUUGACAGUGACACAGAACAGUGAAAACUGUAAGUCAAUCCAUGGUGAGUGCAAUCUCACAUUAUGUCAUGCAUAAAAAAAGUCAUAUAACAAUAUACAUAUAUAACCUAUUUCACAGUAACAAUAAAAACAUAUUUAUCAAUUCAUCAAAAAGAAGACAGGUUUGUUGUAUCUAUCCAAAUGUAUUAUACUGUGAUUUUUCUCUUGCUUGGGAAAGAUUUCCCUGAAGACGGUAUUUAUAGUAGGGUCAGGGAUUUACAUUAUACUUGAAUAUAUAUGUUCUGACUAGGAAGUACAUUAUAUUUUGGAGUUGGGUUGUAUUGGGUAUUCCUUCAAAGAUCCUCUAAAGGGAAAUAAUGUUUCAUCUACUCAUUUGCUCAGAUUUCCCUGUAAUUUUCAGUGAUGGCUCUUGCCGGCAGUCCAUAUGGACUAGAUAUUGCAUCAAAAGAGAAAGGAAAGUACUCUUACCAUGGAAACAUUUUCAGAUUAAGUUGAAAAGGUCCAUAAUCCUUAUUGAAAAUUUUCUUUAUUGUUUUCUUGACAGGAAAGCUUCAACUUUUUUCUCAUUUAACUGACAUAUUUCCUCUUCUUCUUUCUUUCUCUCCCUUCUAUAUCCAUAACCCAGUACUCAUGGUAUAUAGUGAGUAUUCAAUAACUCUAUUGAAAAAGUGAAGUGAAAUCAAGUUUAUCUUACACAUACUUGUAAAAAGCAACCUAUUUUCUUUAUUUUAAAGGUCUUAGGUUUUUUAUAAUUAGGAUUAACAAUUUGUCAUUCUUUAAUGGGCACUUGUUAUUUUCUGGAACACAGAAUUCAUUAGGGUCAUUGUUGGCAUUUGAAUAUCUCUAUGGCCCCCUUGUACUGUGAAGCUGAAUAUCCAGACUCAAAGAAUGUUUGAUUUCUCUCAAUUCUCCAAGGUUAUAGAUCCAAUGAAGAUACAACCAUUCUAGUUCCAAUCCAGAGGAUCUCUGAAAGAGCAAAUUAUUCUAGAGGUCCUUUAGGAUUCUGAAUCUGUUGGUAGAGAUACAUGGGGGAGAAAGGGAAAUUUGAUAUGCUUUAUUCAAAACCUCUUCCUUUUCACGUGACUUCUACUGAGUCACGUAGGAAUUACUGAGAAUGAGUAUACAUAGUCAUUAUGAAGGAAUUAUGCCAUAGCAGGAGUCUUCAGUGUCUUUAGGGCUUUCCCUUAUGAAAGUUGGGCCUAGCUAAAACAUAAUGACAGCCAUACCAGCAUGGAUCAAACUUGCACAUGUGUGAUGCCCCAUAGAUCUUCCCAUCUCCAGUGAGGCAGGGUUUCUUUUCUGUCUUUUGUACAAGAUAAUAAAAAACCCAAAAGGGUCAGCAGAGAGUUUACCAGCACAAAAUAUUCUAUGAGCUGAGCAAGGGCCUGAGUGUCAGGAUCAGCUGGAAUGGUAUUCUAAGGAUAGUGCUGUGUCCCUUACAUAAGACAAAUGAACCAUGGAGAAGUCAUUAUUCUAGUGUUUCAGAAGAGAAACUGACAUGAGAACACAGGCCGGGCACCACAUCAAUUAAAUUAUGGAAGUAGGGAGAGCAAGCUGAAAUACAAAGGCAUAGCCAAGAGCCUGAUCAGGGGCAAAUCAGAAAUUCAUGAUAGAUAAAGACAACUAGUACAACCAGUUUCAUCUAAUGACUUCUCUGUGGAGAAGCAGUCUUUUGAUGGUGGUGGUUCAAGGUGUCCUGACGGCUCCUGCUCAAUCGUAAAGGAGCCAUAAACCAGUAUGCCUAUGGAUCUAUCCAAGUUUUGACUUCCAGGAUCAUCAUGUAUCCACUUGCAUUCAGUCCUGGCAUAAUUUGUAUCCUGACAGAAAGAAAAUAUAAAAUAACGAAAACUUGCAGCAUCGUGCCAGAGAUGGGCAAAUGUAGUAACUCUUCAGUUAGCAGCAAUAACAACAGUAUUUAUUGACAGUGUUCUAUUUGCAGGGCAUUUGACAUAAGAUUUUGAAACCUUAUGCCAACCACUCUUGGAACAGCCUACUGACACUCAAAUAAGUUAAGUUUGUGUAAAACUACAUAACAGGUAAUUGGUAGAAUAUGAAUUUUACUGCUACUUGUCCCAAUUUAAGUUCUUUGUACUUUCUACUAUGUUAUAUAUAAAUAAUGCCACAUAUAAAAAUUCCACUGGCAGUGGGUAAGCCUCUCUUUAGCACUUGACAGAAAAAUAAGCUCUCAGAACAAUCUCAAAUAGGAGUAUUCAAUUAGCUCUAGAACCAGAAGAGAUCCCAGAAAGAACAGUGCUCACUCGAUUCUGGUCACUUUUUACCUUGUAGAUAAAGUGAGUAGGAACUUGAGCACUAGAGUCAGACAGAACUAGAUUAGAAUCUUGGUUCUUCUAUUUAUUAGCUACCCAACUUGGCCACAUUACUGAACCCCUCUAGGUCUGUGAUUCUUAUUCUACUAAAUGUGAUAAUCCAAGGAUAAUAACUGUGCCUCUUCUAGGCAGAGUUUUUAAGAUUAAAAGACUUGUGCUUGAUACAUGAUAAACAUUCAGUACGUGCUCAUCGUCAUCUUCACCAUUAUUGUUUCAACAAGAAUCAAGCAGGAGUUGUUGGCCAUAUGUAGCCUUGGAGUAGAACAUUUGAUGUGGUCAAAUGGACUAAACAGGAAGUGUUGAUAAUCAUCUUUUCAAGUACACAUAUACAAUGUUUACUAAACCAGUGUUAUUUAACGUUUAAUCCAGCAUAGAGAAAGCACAUUAAAUGGUAAACAAGUGACUUUGCCUCCUUGGUUCUCAGAACUACUACUUAAAUGCUCCUGAAGAUCCCUUCCAGCUCUGAGAUCAUUAUUAACAUUAUUAACAUUAACAUUAACAUUAAUAUUAACAUUAACAUUAUUGAGCACUUACUAUGUGCAGAGUUUGUAACUGGGAAGAACAGAUUGACACACUUAGAGAAGCAGAAUGUAAAAAGACUUAUCAUCCUGGUAUAGAAUUAGCCAAAAUGAGGUACCUACUCUUUGUCUUUGUCAUAGAAGGGUUUUGAAGACUAAAAAGAUAUACUUGAAAAGAGUUGAACUUCUCGAAAGAAUGGUGAUAAUAUAAAUAUGCUAUAGCCUCUAAAUAAAAAUAGUUUGUUUAAAGAAACAUAAAUUAAAAGAGCACAAAAGGGAAAAGAGAGAUGUAUUUUACCCUCUGGAUCUGACUUUGGUUUUAAAUUGCACAGGCAAGAGAUUGGUCAGAAAGAUUUAUUUCAACCUUUACUAGUGUAUUAGCAGUGUCACAGAGCAAGGGAUGUGGUGAAAAGAAAGAGGAAGAUAAAUAUGCACAAGCAAGAGAGUGUCUUGGAAUUUAAUUUAUUUAAAAUUAGAUUAUAUUGCUGUUGUCUUAAUGUUUGAAUAAAUUGUAGUUCCAAGUACUUUAAGCCUAUGGUAAGUCCAUUUCUAAUUUUGUCAAUUUUUGGCAAUGUUUUUUUAAAAACAUAAGCUGAGGGGAUCCCUGGGUGGCUCAGCAGUCAGCGCCUGCCUUUGACCCAGGGCGUGAUCCUGGAGUCCCGGGAUCAAGUCCCGCAUCAGGCUCCCUGCAUGGAGCCUGCUUCUCCCUCUGCCUGUGUCUCUGCCUCUCUCUCUCUCUCUCUGUCUAUCAUGAAUAAAUGAAAAACAUCUUAAAAAAAACAUAAACUGAAAAUUUUUAUUUAACUAUUGAAAAGACUCUACUCAAAUGAAAUGGAGUUUCCAAGUGACCAAGGUAAUGAGUAGGUGGGGGGAAAAUUUGUUUUUGCAUUUUAAUCACAGUUAUGUGGAAACAUCUUGUGGAGAUCAGUAUAGAAAAGGAAAAAUAAGAGAUGGAGAGGAUACAUUGGAGGAGGGCCUUGAAUGAGUAAAAAGUUUUCUAAUGUGUUUUCUUUGGAUAAUAAUAUCUUAGAAUUACUACCAAAAAAAUGGAACUUACUAUUUAUUCAUGAGUACAGUGCCUCACAGCACCAUUGUUAUCUGGUCAUGCCAAUUAGUUCUGGGACUGGAUUUUUCAGAAUACAGAUGUGAUUAACGCAGUCCAAAUAAGGCAAUCUCGUUAAUGUAUUAACAGGAAUAAUAUUUACAAAUUUAAAAUUAGAAGUGUUUUACAUUUCUUCAAACACUUGGACAGUGACAUAACUUGUAGUUUAAGGUGAUUAGUGCAAUUUUAAGAGGACAUGUUUAUAUCAACAAUAUUUCCAUUAGAGAAACAAGAACUUUUUAGUUUUAGGAAAGGUUUCUAGGCGACUCGAGUAGCUAUGAUUUCCUUUGGACUCAGCCCUCCCCCCCCCAACGGCUUUCUCCCAGAAUUCUUCUCAUCUUUACCUUGUGCUAUUUCCAGUGAUUGCUCAGAUUAUUGCAACUGAUUUCACACAUUUACUUCCUUUGACAUGCAAGUGCCAGCCAGAACCAUCUUUUUCUUCCUUCAGCUCCCGGAGAGAACUAGGAACUUCUUAGCCUUGGGCUAAAUUGUGAAGCUGACAGUUUGUUUUGGGAACUUCCAAGUGAACAUAUUUGGUGGUUCACUAAGGCCUCUCAGGAACGAGAUUCUUUAACCUAAAGAAACAAUUCUACUUCUGGGAAUUUCUAGCACACCAGAAGGUAGCUGGAGGACAUUUUUGUCUCGGUAGUUUGGAGGCUAGCCAAUGCUAUAGAAGAAAGUAAGGCAAAGACAAAGAUAUACUUUGGAAGAUGCCCAUAAAAGACAGCAGGAGCUAUGGAGUCUUAUUCCCAAGAAAGGCCAGGCAGUAAGACCUCCAAAGGUCUCGAUGUCUCUGUUGGCUAUGAUUGCUUUUUUUCAUUAGUACAGAAACAAGGCACACUGGAUACAAAUGAAAUGUAGGUGCAGAAACGUGGUUUUGGUUUUUAGAGAUUGUCUUCCCGUACCUUCUGGUCUCCUAGAUAUGCUGGAUACUCCAGAAAUACAAGUAUUGAGCUCUAUUUACUUAUUUAUAGUUUCCAAAUUUUCAGAUUCUGCCUAUAAAACAUCUGAUGUGAUUAACUGAUUUUUCUAAUUCAAGAUACAAUUAUUUUCGGUGUAGGAGGCUAUAAAGUUGCUUUAAUUUUAUUUUUAUUAUUAUUAUUUUUUACCUUUCUGCUAUGUUUUUCACAUUCCUUCACUGUCAAGACUGGUAAUUAAUCAAGACUCAGUCAUGGAUGGCUCCUUUUCCCUGCUCUUUUUAUCCUUCCCUUUCCUGUGUGAACAAUGAAGAAUGAUGUCUCUCCUCCCAUGUCCCUGGCUCCCUGUCCUUGGAGAACUCAAACCAGGCCCCAUGACAAGUAGUUGCCAUGGAGGGGAAAGCACUAAAAAUGACAAAUAAGAUUCUAGACCCUAGGCGGCAAAGGGUGGACUUCCUGAUCCUUGUCAUCCAUCUCUCCAUGUCAGGAGGCCUUUGGGAAAAGCAAAAACAGAAAGAAAAAAAAUUCAUCCUGCGUUGCACUCCUUAGGUUUCUGCACUAUGAUAAACCUGGGUUGCCUUUGCAGUAGUGCUAUAAAGUGAUGAGUCUUGAGUUUUUCCCAAGUUUUUCAUACACAAGCUUCUUUUUUACUUAUCAACCUGUAAGCAUACGUGCAGGAAUACUCAUACUCUGCUCUUUCUCUAACUUUGUUUUCUCUAAGUGUUUGCUCCUAUAAAAAUCUAACAAAUCACCUUUUCAUUAUAUGAUUGGUUUAUGUCUCUGGACACUAUAGAAACCACUGUAGGGUCUAUACUCUUAUUUAACUGAAGAGAUUAGGGAGAAAACUUGCCCAUCCAUCACAGUCCUGAAACUCUGCUAUUAAAUAACAUGCCUUUGGAUUAGGAUGCUGUAUCAUUAGGAGGCCACAUGAAACAGAAGUGAUUCUAGGCAGAAGGGAUGAUACAGUAUAAUCUAAUCAGUCAUACCCCCCUGCAUUUUUAGCAAAUCCAUUUAUUAUGAAGGUCAUUGGUGGACAGGAUGGCCCCAGGAAUUAGAAUUAGAAUAGAUAUAUUGAAAUGAGUUGGAAGAGAAAAUAAUUUCUGAAAAAAAGAUCACCACACUGUCUGGGAGCAGGAUGAGGAUAGAAGAGUUGAGGAAUGAUGGAGAACUAAAGUUGGAGUGUUAGAGAUUUAAGCUGCCUGAAUGAAGUAGAUGACUUGAUCGUAUUGAUCUGUGCUUUGCACAGGAAAUCCCACAUUAUAGUCUAAUAGAAUGUUGGCCUUAAUAUGUUGUGGCAAUUUUCUAUUUCUUUUAGUAUGUUUUAGUGUAUUAGGUGUUGUUUGCUUCAACUGAUUUAUGCAAAACGGAACUAUACGGAAAUAUAAGGAUAGUGAGAAACUCAAAUUAGGUCAAGGAUGUGAUUCAAUUCAAUUAGCUAAUUCCACAAUAUGCUAUAUAACCAACAACUGCAAUAUCUCAGCAGCAUAAGACAAUAAACAUUUAACUCUCAAGGAGCAGUGGGUUAGUUGAGGGUCAGCUGUUGAAGGUGGGGGUUGGCACAGUGAUUCUGCUGAUCUCAACUGGGCUCACUCAUGGUCUUGGGAGUCAGAUGGAGUUCAGUGAUGUGGGGGCUUUGCUCAGCUGGGGCUGGUCAGCUUUAACUACACAUUUCUCAUCCUCUUCCUAUGUCCAGCUGACUAAGUCAAACAUAUUCUUCCCUAUCUUUGCAGAUUAUUCUUCCUGCUUCCUGGGCCAAAUACCUAUGUGGCAAUUCUUAUUUUCAUACCAAUUUAAGAAAAAAAAAAAAAAAAA